CGAAGGUGCGUAACGCGUGAGCAACUUGCCCUUAUCGAGGGGAUAACCGGUGGAAACGCCGACUAAUACCCCAUGGCAUUGAGUUGAGGCAUCUCUACUCAAUUAAAGAAAUUCGGAUAAGGAUAGGCUCGCGUGACAUUAGCUAGACGGCGGGGUAACGGCCCACCGUGGCUACGAUGUCUAGGGGUUCUGAGAGGAAGGUCCCCCACACUGGAACUGAGACACGGUCCAGACUCCUACGGGAGGCAGCAGUGAGGAAUAUUGGUCAAUGGUCUGACGACUGAACCAGCCAUGCCGCGUGAAGGUCACGGCCCUAUGGGUCUUAAACUUCUUUUGCGAGGGAGCAAUAAGGUCUACGUGUAGUCCGAUGAGAGUACCUCGCGAAUAAGCAUCGGCUAACUCCGUG
rnacentral:rRNA from 1 species